rnacentral:tRNA from 1 species
AAAAUAUUAAGUUAUAAUAAACUUUUAACUUUCAAAGUUAAAUUAAGAAUUUUAGUUCUAUAUUUUA